rnacentral:lncRNA from 1 species
AAACUGAUUUGGGGUGCUAAGCUUCUGCUCUGGUAGCACAGAAACCAGUGUGUGCUGCAAUGCCUACCCAAGAAGCUCAGAACUGGACUGAAUCAACAAUGACUUAAAAGUUUUCAAUCUUCCUAGAAUUUGAUGGAUGCUCCCCCUGUCGAAUUUUGGAGCUGUCAGUGGGUGGCUCGCUCUCCUAGCAGUUGGCCUUCUGCUUCUGAGAUCUGUGAUCUGAAAGAAUCUCUCAAAAAAACAUUGCUGUAGUCUGUGGACACCAUUUACACCUCAGCACUCCAAGACAGAUAGGCAUUUUUACACCUCCACAUCGCCACAAAAGAGAGGAAUGGAGAGGAGGCAGCUGUACCACUAGUGGGAAGUACAGUGGCAGUGAAGCUGUGUGCUUCUCUGAAGCG